CCUACGGGAGGCAGCAGUGAGGAAUAUUGGUCAAUGGGCGCGAGCCUGAACCAGCCAAGUCGCGUGAGGGAAGACGGCCCUACGGGUUGUAAACCUCUUUUGCCGGGGAGCAACGGGCGCCACGUGUGGCGCCACUGAGAGUACCCGGAGAACAAGCAUCGGCAAACUCCGUGCCAGCAGCCGCGGUAAUACGGAGGAUGCGAGCGUUAUCCGGAUUUAUUGGGUUUAAAGGGUGCGUAGGCGGACCGUUAAGUCAGUGGUCAAAUUGAGGGGCUCAACCACUUCCCGCCAUUGAAACUGGCGAUCUUGAGUGGAAGAGAGGUAUGCGGAAUGCGUGGUGUAGCGGUGAAAUGCAUAGAUAUCACGCAGAACCCCGGUUGCGAAGGCAGCAUGCCGGCUUCCUACUGACGCUGAAGCACGAAAGCGUGGGGAUCGAACAGGAUUAGAUACCCGAGUAGUC
rnacentral:rRNA from 1 species